UCCACGCAGUAAACGAUGAAUGUUAGUCGUUGGAUAGCAAGUCUAUUCAGUGAUGCAGUUAACACAUUAAACAUUCCGCCUGGGGAGUACGGUCGCAAGAUUAAAACUCAAAGGAAUAGACGGGGACCCGCACAAGUGGUGGAGCAUGUGGUUUAAUUCGAAAAUACGCGAAGAACCUUACCUAGCCUUGACAUUGAUAGAAUCCCGUAGAGAUACAGGAGUGCCCUUCGGGGAGCUUGAAAAC
rnacentral:rRNA from 1 species